rnacentral:lncRNA from 1 species
CCAGUUUAUCUUUCUCAUGUAAGGAUACCGAAGUUUAUAACAACUCGGUAGUAGCAGUAGUACCAGUGAUUGUAUAAAUAGUACAAAAGGUAGUACAUUGUAUUUGGUUUUUAAUACAAUUAUAUUUUACCAACUGCUACUGUAUAAGUCCGUGUUGACGGCACCUAUUUCUCUUUCUCUCUCCGAUCAUCAAUCUGAGUUAUUUCUGGGAAAUCCAGGAUAACGUUGC